rnacentral:tRNA from 1 species
GCCAGCAUAGCUCAGGGGCAGAGCGGACGUUUCAUAAGCGUUAGGUCAGAGGUUCGAAUCCUCUUGCUGGCA